AUGAUUCCAGAGUUCCAUUUUCCUUUUCAAAAUAUAGUACAUGAACUUCCAUUUGUGUUUGACAAUGUAGAACUUUAAAAAAUGUUCAACUAGGUAGCACUUACAAUAUGGAUUUUAGUACCGAACAACAACUAGAUGCAUAUCAUCAAAAAAUUCUUUUUUUGACUAAAAUUUGCAUAAACACCAGCCACGUACUGCACAUAUUCUCAGGCAUAGCAGAACUUUGUUCUCAGGCAUUACAUCAAGCAAAUACAUCACAUGUCACCAACAAAUCAACAACAGCGGUACAAUCAUCCAUAGAAGAUGAACUAAAAAGCACACACAAGUGAGACCCUGUUCUUCCAUAGCUUGGUCUACUUCGACUAGAACGGACAACCCCUUUUUUUGCAAAAAAAUCUCCAUUGUUUAUGCACGGGUAGCUUCCUACUUGCACCUUCUAGCUCACCAGCAUCUGCAAGAUGGAAUGGAUAUUAAGAAUAAUGCAAAGAAUAUGUUGGAGAAGAAGUUCUCGGGAGAAGAGGGAGACGUCCAUAUUGUGUCAGAGGUGCGCCAUAGAGGGGAGGACGGGCGGCGCGCAUGGGGGCUAGCGGUGGAUGCCGGCGCUGAUGUGCGGGAGGGAGGAGGGGGGUAGGGCGGUGGUGCGGUACCGAAAGUCGACUGAUGGCGGGCAGCAGUAGGAGGUGGCAGCGUGUGUUGACGGCGGCUGGAUCCGGUCGCGGGGGCAGCACGGCGGCCGGAUCCAAGGGCGGCGCAGCGACCGGACCCAGGAUCGGGUGGCACAAGGGGUGGAUCCAUGCGAGGAGGGCGGUGCGUGCGCGGAGAUAGAAGGCAGCAGGCGGCCGCCGUAGCGGAGGGUGGAGCGGGAGGUAGCGUGGCAACCGACUGCGUUCGUGUGCUCCAGGGUGGGGGUGGCCGGCGGCGGGAGGUGCGCCCGCACCAGGGGGCGGCGGCGGUCAUGGAGGGGGCGGGGAAGGAGGGGAUCGGGUGGGGAUGGGCUGCUGGGGGUCGUGGAGGUAGUGGUCGGGGGUGGGUGGAUAUCAUUUUUUUCUUUUCUCCACUCUUGUGCCUGUAUAGGAGCCAACCGAUGUUUCCGAGAUCCAGAAAAAAGGAAAACAGAGCGACAGACCGGCCCGUCCCGAUCCCCUUUCGCCGUCGUCCUCCCCCGCAACCCCGCCGCCACCCUCCUGCCGUGGCUCGCAUGCAGCGCCGCCGACAUCCUCCCGCGGACCCUCCCGUCCGGCGAUGCGGGACGCAAGGGAGGUCGGAGCCACCGUCCCCAAGCGCGGUCGCUGGGGUUCGAUUCGCGUCGCCGCCGACCCCGCGCGCUCCCACAACCCACCUCCGAGCCCUGCCCCGACCACAACCUUCCUGCGCCCCGCGCCCGUCGCUACUGCCACGCGCCCUGCGCUCCCUUUUAUUUGGCCGGGGUCGCUGCUUCCUUCAUCUGCGCCAUGCCGGAGCGUAUACGCCGACCUUCCGCCAUCAAGCUCAAUAAGUGAGGGCCGCGAGCAAAAAAGAGGAGCUAC
rnacentral:lncRNA from 1 species